rnacentral:tRNA from 1 species
GGGGUUGUGGCUCAUGGUAGAGCGCUCGCCUAGCAAGCGUGAGGCCUGGGUUCGAUCCUCAGCACCAACA